AGAGUUUGAUCCUGGCUCAGAAUGAACGCUGGCGGCGUGCCUAACACAUGCAAGUCGAACGAGAAAGCUUCUUCGGAAGCAAGUAUAGUGGCGAACGGGUGAGUAACACGUAAGAAUCUACCUUCUAGUAAAGAAUACCUUCGAGAAAUUGAAGUUAAUACUGUAUAAGCCCUACGGGGGAAAGACGGCCUCUUUGCUGUCGCUAGAAGAUGAGCUUGCGGACUAUUAGCUUGUUGGUGGGGUAAUGGCCUACCAAGGCAAUGAUGGAUAGCCGACCUGAGAGGGUGACCGGCCACACUGGAACUGACACACGGUCCAGACUCCUACGGGAGGCAGCAGUGGGGAAUAUUGCACAAUGAGCGAAAGCUUGAUGCAGCGACGCCGCGUGGAGGAUGAAGGUUUUCGGAUUGUAAACUCCUGUUAAGUGGGAAGAAAGGCUCGUAGGUAAUAUAUGCGAGAGAUGACGGUACCACUAGAGAAAGCUCCGGCUAACUUCGUGCCAGCAGCCGCGGUAAUACGAAGGGAGCAAGCGUUAUUCGGAAUUACUGGGCGUAAAGAGCGUGUAGGCGGUUAAUUAAGUUGGUUGUCAAAUUUCUCGGCUCAACCGAGAGUCGGCAGUUGAUACUGGUUAACUAGAGGACAAGAGAGAGAAGUGGAAUUCUCGGAGUAGCGGUAAAAUGCAUAGAUCUCGAGAGGAACACCAGUUGCGAAGGCGGCUUCUUGGCUUGUAUCUGACGCUAAAGCGCGAAAGCGUGGGGAGCAAACAGGAUUAGAUACCCUGGUAGUCCACGCCGUAAACGAUGAUCACUAGAUGUGGGUCUUGUUUUGCAAGAUCUGUGUCGAAGCUAACGCGUUAAGUGAUCCGCCUGGGGAGUACGGUCGCAAGAUUAAAACUCAAAGGAAUUGACGGGGGUCCGCACAAGCGGUGGAACAUGUGGUUUAAUUCGACACUACGCGAGGAACCUUACCUGGGUUUGACAUGUAUACGCCUGUCAUAGAAAUAUGAUUUUCCAAGUUUACUUGGACGUUUACACAGGUGCUGCAUGGCUGUCGUCAGCUCGUGUCGUGAGAUGUUGGGUUAAGUCCUUUAACGAGCGCAACCCUUGCCGUUAGUUGCUAUCUCUUCGGAGAGCACUCUAUCGGGACUGCCUAGGAAACUAGGAGGAAGGUGGGGAUGACGUCAAGUCCUCAUGGCCUUUAUACCCAGGGCUACACACGUGUUACAAUGGCUAGUACAAAGGGAAGCGACCCCGCGAGGGUGAGCCGAUCUCAUAAAGCUAGUCUAAGUUCGGAUUGGAGUCUGCAAUUCGACUCCAUGAAGUUGAAAUCGCUAGUAAUCGCGUAUCAGAACGACGCGGUGAAUACGUUCUCGGACCUUGUACACACCGCCCGUCACACCACGAAAGUUGUCUAUACCCGAAGGCAUUUUAGCUAACUCGUAAGAGAUGCGGAUGACUAAGGUAUGGGGGAUGAUUGGGGUGAAGUCGGAACAAGGUA
rnacentral:rRNA from 1 species